GGAGAGAAGCAAGCGUGAUGGAGAGAACGAGGCAGAACAGUGCACAGACGAAAAAUAGAUGCUUCUAGAAGAUUACUGGUGCUUGGAUGAAUUUGAUUUUCUUGGCAUGUUUCUCUAGCAAUUAAAGAUACCGUAGGCGUGUGUUGUCUUACAGUGAGUGUCGGUGUGGAUGGGGUACAUGGCUACAGUCCUCUUGUGCAGGUCUUCAUUGGUGCUGCUCUGUUCUGAGUCCCACUGACCGGCUGGCUUGUAGCUAUCACAGGAGCCAUACACACAGCAUUGCACUCUGAGGCGAGGCAGCUGCUCACACAGAUCCAGAGGGAGAGCUGAGAGACCAGCCCGAGUCAGCGUUCUAUAGGGGAAGA